UACGGGGGGGGCAAGCGUUGUUCGGAAUUACUGGGCGUAAAGGGCUCGUAGGCGGCCAACUAAGUCAGACGUGAAAUCCCUCGGCUUAACCGGGGAACUGCAUCUGAUACUGGAUGGCUUGAGUUUGGGAGAGGGAUGCGGAAUUCCAGGUGUAGCGGUGAAAUGCGUAGAUAUCUGGAGGAACACCGGUGGCGAAGGCGGCAUCCUGGACCAACACUGACGCUGAUGAGCGAAAGCCAGGGGAGUAAACGGG
rnacentral:rRNA from 1 species